GGUUGACCUCGGAUCAGGUAGGGAUACCCGCUGAACUUAAGCAUAUCAAUAAGCGGAGGAAAAGAAACCAACAGGGAUUGCCUCAGUAACGGCGAGUGAAGCGGCAAGAGCUCAAAUUUGAAAGCUGGCCCCCUCGGGGUCCGCAUUGUAAUUUGCAGAGGAUGCUUCGGGUGCAGCCCCCGUCUAAGUGCCCUGGAACGGGCCGUCAUAGAGGGUGAGAAUCCCGUCUGGGACGGGGUGUCUGCGUCCGUGUGAAGCUCCUUCGACGAGUCGAGUUGUUUGGGAAUGCAGCUCUAAAUGGGUGGUAAAUUUCAUCUAAAGCUAAAUACUGGCCGGAGACCGAUAGCGCACAAGUAGAGUGAUCGAAAGAUGAAAAGCACUUUGAAAAGAGAGUUAAACAGCACGUGAAAUUGUUGAAAGGGAAGCGUUUGCGACCAGACUCGCCCGCGGGGUUCAGCCGGCAUUCGUGCCGGUGUACUUCCCCGCGGGCGGGCCAGCGUCGGUUUGGGCGGCCGGUCAAAGGCCCUCGGAAUGUAUCACCCCCCGGGGUGUCUUAUAGCCGAGGGUGCAAUGCGGCCUGCCCGGACCGAGGAACGCGCUUCGGCUCGGACGCUGGCGUAAUGGUCGUAAAUGACC
rnacentral:rRNA from 1 species